AAACAAACCCUGUUCAUAGCUCUCCUCGUAAGGUGCAGAAUCAUGAAGGUAGUCAUAAUCCUCAACGAUUGGGUCCCGUUGUUGACCGUGGCCGUCAUACCCCUCAGCUAACUGCUGAGGGGCACAGGCCAACUGGAGGUAGUAGCACCAUUAAUCAUGAUGGUGCUAAUUAUGUAGGAAACAAAGGACACAAGCUAAUUGGAAUUGAUCCAAUUGGGAAUCACAACUACGAUGGUGAUCGUCGUGCACCAAUAGUUGUAGGGGAUCCAAAAGAAGGACGCAAAUCGAUUGGAAUUAGUCCAAACAAUUAUGAUGGUAGUAAUGGCAAUGGUGGUGAGCGACGUGUAGUAAGGGAUCCAAAGGAAGGGUACAAGCCAAUUGGAAUUAGUCCAAUUAGGAGUGGCAACUAUGAUGGUACUAACGGAUAUGGUGGUGAUCGUCGUGCAAUAGGAGAUCCAAAGGAAGGGUACAAGACAAAGCCAAUUGGAAUUAGUCCAAUUAAGAGUGGCAACUAUGAUAGUAAUAAUGGCUAUGGUGGUGACCAUCGUGCACCGGCAGUAGGAGAUCCAAGUAAAGGGUACAAAUCAAUUGGAAUUAGUCCAAUUAGGAGUGACAACUAUGGUGGUACUAAUCACUAUGAUGGUUAUAAUAAUGGAUAUGGUGGUCAUAAUAUUGUGAAUUACAACAACAGAUCCAAUCCCAAUGGGCCAAAAAUUAGUUCAAACUGGAGUGCUGCACCGAGACAAGGGACCCAACUAAGUGAACCAAUUAAUGAUAUUGACAAGGCUAUGGAAUUGUUGAAGAUGGAAGCUGCAAAGCGUGAUCACCAGCGUAGCAUUAGCAACAACACUCAGUACUACGAUGGUAGUAUUAAUGCUUCUCCUACCGGAAGGCCUUAUGGUGGAAACUUUAUUCAAUCACAGCCACGCAUGUCACCAACACCUGUCACAUACAUUCCUGACGAUGAUGAUGAUGAUGAUUAUAAUUACUACACGAUGGAUAAUACAGGACGUUAUGGAGGACAUCAUAAUUCAAUCAUUGACAGUAGGGAGGCUGAGAAGAGGUUUAAAGGCACCAGGGUCUGAAUAUUAAUUAGCUACUCCUUUUUAUAAGAGACAGUUUAGUUAAAAUUUGGUAAGUUGUUGUAAGUACUUCAUAUCAAAAAGUAUUGAUUAUAUAUAACUAAUAAUUAGUAUAUAUAUAGUUGUCUGUAUUUAAGAUUAAUCUAUACCUUUUUAGUGUAUAGAUCAUCGAUCUAUACCUGUAUUGUUAUGUAUUGAUUAGAUAAGCAAAAAUAUAGUGUAAAAUAUAAGAUGUAAGGGUUGAAUGAAUAAAUAAAUAUGUGGAGUGUUUAUUAAGUAAUACCUCUUUCUUAAUUAUUGGUUGAUUGUUUGUUUUUAAUUUAUUUUUGUUGAAAAAUGGUGGUGCACUCAAGAAGC
rnacentral:lncRNA from 1 species